CCAGGCCCAGCACAUAGGGGGCGCUCAACCCUGAGCAGAGGAAAGACGGAAUCUGUGAGUGAAGGGACAAGCCCGUUAGGGGGCAGGUGUGAGAGUCAAGUGAAAAUGAUGGGGCCUGCGGUGCAGUGAGGAGCGAGAAGCAUUGACAAGACGCACGAUUGAUGAGAAUGCGUUUUUCUCAAUAGAUGGGAAGUUCCUCUGUCACCUUGUUGCAUGGACCACGUUGCAUCUGGCAGGCUUCCUGAAACACGUGAGUGGGCGCAGAACGGGCCCAGCUUCCUUCCUGCCGCCCUGCCCGCCGUCUGCCACGUUGGCAGCCGCCCGCAGCCUUCUCGCCCCUGCUGCUGUUGCUGCUGCUACGGCAUCAGCCGAGACCAGCCCGCCGAGAGAGUUUGCCCAGAACAGCCAGGGCUGCCGGAGCUGGGGCUCGGCUGGCUUACUCUGCCAGACAGGAAGGAGCGAGCCAGCCGGCGGAGGGAGGGAACAAGGGCUGAGCCAGCCCCCAACCUUCCCAG
ensembl:lncRNA